UUGAACGCUGGCGGCAGGCCUAACACAUGCAAGUCGCGCGGAUGAAGGGAGCUUGCUCCUGGAUUCAGCGGCGGACGGGUGAGUAAUGCCUAGGAAUCUGCCUGGUAGUGGGGGAUAACGUCCGGAAACGGGCGCUAAUACCGCAUACGUCCUGAGGGAGAAAGUGGGGGAUCUUCGGACCUCACGCUAUCAGAUGAGCCUAGGUCGGAUUAGCUAGUUGGUGGGGUAAAGGCCUACCAAGGCGACGAUCCGUAACUGGUCUGAGAGGAUGAUCAGUCACAAUGGAACUGAGACCCGGUCCAGACCCCCAGGGGGGGCAGCAGUGGGGAAUAUUGGACAAGGGGCGAAAGCCUGAUCCAGCCAUGCCGCGUGUGUGAAGAAGGUCUUCGGAUUGUAAAGCCCUUUAAGUUGGGAGGAAGGGAAGUAAGUUAAUACCUUGCUGUUUGGACGUUACCAACAAAAUAAGCCCCGGCUAACUUCGU
rnacentral:rRNA from 1 species